rnacentral:rRNA from 1 species
AGCUCUGUUGUUAGGGAAGAACAAGUGCUAGUUAAAUAAGCUGGCACCUUGACGGUACCUAACCAGAAAGCCACGGCUAACUACGUGCCAGCGGCCGCGGUAAUACGUAGGUGGCAAGCGUUGUCCGGAAUUAUUGGGCGUAAAGCGCGCGCAGGCGGUUUCUUAAGUCUGAUGUGAAAGCCCCCGGCUCAACCGGGGAGGGUCAUUGGAAACUGGGAAACUUGAGUGCAGAAGAGGAAAGUGGAAUUCCAAGUGUAGCGGUGAAAUGCGUAGAGAUUUGGAGGAACACCAGUGGCGAAGGCGACUAUCUGGUCUGUAACUGACACUGAGGCGCGAAAGCGUGGGGAGCGAACGGGAUUAGAUACCCCGGUAGUCCACGCUGUAAACGGUGGAUACUAGGUGUUGGUGACUAUCGUCAUCAGUGCCGUAGCUAACGCGUUAAGUAUCCCGCCUGGGGACUACGGCCGCAAGGCUAAAACUUAAAGGAAUUGACGG